rnacentral:pre_miRNA from 1 species
CUAUAUAUACCCUGUAGAACCGAAUUUGUGUGAAGAAAUCAGAGUCACAGAUUCGAUUCUAGGGGAGUAUAUGGU